rnacentral:rRNA from 1 species
AUACGGAGGGUGCAAGCGUUGUUCGGAAUUACUGGGCGUAAAGCGCGUGUAGGCGGUCGGGCAAGUCGAAUGUGAAAUCCCCGGGCUCAACCCGGGAAUUGCAUCCGAAACUGCUUGGCUAGAGUCCCGGAGAGGAAGGCAGAAUUCCCAGUGUAGGGGUGAAAUCCGUAGAUAUUGGGAGGAAUACCAGUGGCGAAGGCGGCCUUCUGGACGGUGACUGACGCUGAGAUGCGAAAGCGUGGGGAGCAAACAGGAUUAGAAACCCCGGUAGUCC